UCCUUCUUAGCUCAGUUGGUAGAGCGCGUCACUAGUAUCUUCUGUCUGUCGGAACACCCAAUCUAAUGACGAGGUCAGUCGUUCAAGUCGGCUAGAAGGAA